rnacentral:rRNA from 1 species
UUCGCCGAUGCUCCACUGCACGGCAACAAAACAUUUCGGCGCCGUUAUCAGAUGAGCCGAAAGCUCUUUCUCAGGAUUGUGAAUUCCAUCCGGGAGUUUGACAGCUACUUCAAAUGCAAGAUGGAUUUCACCGGCACACUUGGAUUCACCUCGAUCCAGAAGUGCACAACAGCGAUGAGGAUGCUUGCAUAUGGAGCUCUCGGUGAUUCAUUUAACGACUACGGGCGCAUGGCCGAGUCCACCACCACUGAGUGUUUCUACAAGUUCUGUCGGGCAGUGGUGGCAGUGUUUGGACCGCAAUACUUGCGAACACCCAAUGCGAAAGACACUGCUCGGAUCCUAGCACAGAAUGCAGCAAGAGGAUUUCCUGGGAUGCUUGGUGGAAGCAUCGAC